rnacentral:rRNA from 1 species
GACGAACGCUGGCGGCGUGCUUAACACAUGCAAGUCGAACGGAAAGGCCCCAGCUUGCUGGGGUACUCGAGUGGCGAACGGGUGAGUAACACGUGGGUGAUCUGCCCUGCACUCUGGGAUAAGCCUGGGAAACUGGGUCUAAUACCGGAUAGGACCGUGCUUCAGUGUGUGCGGUGGAAAGGUUUUCGGUGCAGGAUGAGCCCGCGGCCUAUCAGCUUGUUGGUGGGGUAAUGGCCUACCAAGGCGGCGACGGGUAGCCGGCCUGAGAGGGUGGACGGCCACAUUGGGACUGAGACACGGCCCAGACUCCUACGGGAGGCAGCAGGGGGGAAUAUUGCACAAUGGGCGAAAGCCUGAUGCAGCGACGCCGCGUGGGGGAUGACGGCCUUCGGGUUGUAAACCCCUUUCGGCAGGGAAGAAGCUUUAGUGACGGUACCUGCAGAAGAAGCACCGGCUAACUACGUG